CAGCAGCCGCGGGAAUACGAAGGGGGCUAGCGUUGUUCGGAAUUACUGGGCGUAAAGCGCACGUAGGCGGAUAUCUAAGUCAGGGGUGAAAUCCCAGAGCUCAACUCUGGAACUGCCUUUGAUACUGGGUAUCUUGAGUAUGGAAGAGGUGAGUGGAAUUCCGAGUGUAGAGGUGAAAUUCGUAGAUAUUCGGAGGAACACCAGUGGCGAAGGCGGCUCACUGGUCCAUUACUGACGCUGAGGUGCGAAAGCGUGGGGAGCAAACAGGAUUAGAGACCCCUGUAGUCCCUGUCUCUUAUAC
rnacentral:rRNA from 1 species